rfam:Picea glauca, whole genome shotgun sequence.
AUGUACAUGCCUACAACAUAUCAUUAAUGCACUGGGUCCCAUUAAAAAUCCACAGUUAAGCAUGCUCAGGCUAGAGUAGCACUAUGAUGGAUGACCAGCUAGAAAGUCCUAGUGAUUUACAUU